rnacentral:rRNA from 1 species
GAUGAACGCUAGCGGCAGGCUUAAUACAUGCAAGUCGUGGGGCAGCGCAGGUAGCAAUACUGGGCGGCGACCGGCAAACGGGUGCGGAACACGUACACAACCUUCCGAGAGGUGGGAAUAGCCCAGAGAAAUUUGGAUUAAUACCCCGUAACAUAACGAUGUGGCAUCACAUUGUUAUUAUAGCUUCGGCGCUUCUUGAUGGGUGUGCGGCUGAUUAGAUAGUUGGCGGGUAACGGCCCACCAAGUCUACGAUCAGUAGCUGAUGUGAGAGCAUGAUCAGCCACACGGGCACUGAGACACGGGCCCGACUCCUACGGGAGCAGCAGUAGGAAUAUUGGUCAAUGGACGCAAGUCUGAACCAGCCAUGCCGCGUGAAGGAUUAAGGUCCUCUGGAUUGUAAACUUCUUUUAUCUGGGACGAAAAAGGCGAUUCUUCGUCACUUGACGGUACCAGAUGAAUAAGCACCGGCUAACUCCGUGCCAGCAGCCG